rnacentral:lncRNA from 1 species
UUUAAUAAUCAUUUGUUUCUUAAUCCAAUAACUAUGUCAUAGCCAUCAUCUCAUUUUCAUAAGUGUUUUUUUUAUAUAUAACCAUUUCAUCCUCAUUUUAAUAACUAUUUCAUUCUAAUUUUUCUAAAUAUAAACAUUUCCUUCUCAUUUAAAUAAUCAUUUUAUUAUUAUUUUAAUAAUCAGUUUUAUAACCAUUUUAUUC